rnacentral:rRNA from 1 species
GAUGAACGCUGGCGGCGUGCCUAAUACAUGCAAGUCGAGCGAACGGACGAGAAGCUUGCUUCUCUGAUGUUAGCGGCGGACGGGUGAGUAACACGUGGAUAACCUACCUAUAAGACUGGGAUAACUUCGGGAAACCGGAGCUAAUACCGGAUAAUAUUUUGAACCGCAUGGUUCAAAAGUGAAAGACGGUCUUGCUGUCACUUAUAGAUGGAUCCGCGCUGCAUUAGCUAGUUGGUAAGGUAACGGCUUACCAAGGCAACGAUGCAUAGCCGACCUGAGAGGGUGAUCGGCCACACUGGAACUGAGACCCGGUCCAGACUCCUACGGGAGGCAGCAGUAGGGAAUCUUCCACAAUGGGCGAAAGCCUGACGGAGCAACGCCGCGUGAAUGAUGAAGGUCUUCGGAUCGUAAACCUCUGUUAUUAGGGAAGAACAUAUGUGUAAGUAACUGUGCACAUCUUGACGGUACCUAAUCAGAAAGCCCCGGCUAACUACGUG